AACGAACGCUGGCGGCAGGCUUAACACAUGCAAGUCGAGCGCCUCGCAAGAGGAGCGGCAGACGGGUGAGUAACGCGUGGGAAUCUACCCAUCUCUACGGAAUAACGCAUGGAAACGUGUGCUAAUACCGUAUACGCCCCUUGGGGGAAAGAUUUAUCGGAGAUGGAUGAGCCCGCGUUGGAUUAGCUAGUUGGUGGGGU
rnacentral:rRNA from 1 species